AUUGAACGCUGGCGGCAUGCUUUACACAUGCAAGUCGAGCGGUAACAGGCCGCAAGGUGCUGACGAGUGGCGAACGGGUGAGUAAUGCAUCGGAACGUGCCCAGCCGUGGGGGAUAACUACUCGAAAGAGUAGCUAAUACCGCAUACGAUCUAUGGAUGACAGCGGGGGACCGUAAGGCCUCGCGCGAUUGGAGCGGCCGAUGUCAGAUUAGGUAGUUGGUGGGGUAAAGGCUCACCAAGCCAACGAUCUGUAGCUGGUCUGAGAGGACGACCAGCCACACUGGGACUGAGACACGGCCCAGACUCCUACGGGAGGCAGCAGUGGGGAAUUUUGGACAAUGGGCGCAAGCCUGAUCCAGCAAUGCCGCGUGCAGGAAGAAGGCCUUCGGGUUGUAAACUGCUUUUGUACGGAACGAAACGGCUCUGGUUAAUACCCGGGGCUAAUGACGGUACCGUAAGAAUAAGCACCGGCUAACUACGUG
rnacentral:rRNA from 1 species